AAGUCGAACGGCAGCGGGGAGGAGCUUGCUUCUCUGCCGGCGAGUGGCGAACGGGUGAGUAAUACAUCGGAACGUGUCGAGAAGAGGGGGAUAACCACCCGAAAGGGUGGCUAAUACCGCAUAAAUUCUGAGGAAGAAAGCUGGGGACCUAGGAAUAGGCCUAGCGCUUUUUGAGCGGCCGAUGUCGGAUUAGCUAGUUGGUGAGGUAAAGGCUCACCAAGGCGAAGAUCUGUAGCGGGUCUGAGGGGAUGAUCCGCCACACUGGGACUGAGACACGGCCCAGACUCCUACGGGAGGCAGCAGUGGGGAAUUUUGGACAAUGGGGGCAACCCUGAUCCAGCCAUGCCGCGUGUAUGAAGAAGGCCUUAGGGUUGUAAAGUACUUUUGUUAGGGAAGAAAAGUCAGCUGUGAAUAAUGGCUGAUACUGACGGUACCUAAAGAAUAAGCACCGGCUAACUACGUGCCAGCAGCCGCGGUAAUACGUAGGGUGCGAGCGUUAAUCGGAAUUAUUGGGCGUAAAGCGAGUGUAGACGGUUAUUUAAGCCAGAUGUGAAAUACCCGAGCCUAACUUGGGAGGUGCAUAUGGAACUGGGUAGCUAGAGUGUGUCAGAGGGAGGUAGAACUCCACGUGUAGCAGUGAAAUGCGUAGAGAUGUGGAAGAAUACCGAUGGCGAAGGCAGCCUCCUGGGAUAACACUGACGUUGAGGCUCG
rnacentral:rRNA from 1 species